rnacentral:rRNA from 1 species
UACGUAGGGGGCAAGCGUUGUCCGGAUGUAUUGGGCGUAAAGAGCGUGUAGGCGGCUUUACAGGUCCGUUGUGAAAACUCGAGGCUCAACCUCGAGACGCCGGUGGAAACCGUAAGGCUAGAGUCCGGAAGAGGAGAGUGGAAUUCCUGGUGUAGCGGUGAAAUGCGCAGAUAUCAGGAGGAACACCCGUGGCGAAAGCGGCUCUCUGGGACGGUACUGACGCUGAGACGCGAAAGCGUGGGGAGCAAACAGG